UCUCAUUAGUUCUUGUUGUUCACAGAGACUCGUGGCAGGAAUGACACACGAGUGAUAUGCAUUGGGUUGGAUUUGGUGACUGUUAUUUUGGAGUGUGGCGGGAAGAGUCUUGGGGACAUUAAAUCACUGAGAGUUCUCAUACAAGACGGACUCUGCCAUCACUUACUUUGCUUCAGAACGAAUCUGUUGAUGUUUU